rnacentral:rRNA from 1 species
UACAGAGGGUGCGAGCGUUGUUCGGAAUUAUUGGGCGUAAAGCGCUUGUAGGCGGCACGUCAAGUCGCGUGUGAAAUCCCCAGGCUUAACCUGGGAAGUGCGCGCGAAACUGACGAGCUUGAGUGCCGGAGAGGGUCGCGGAAUUCCCGGUGUAGAGGUGAAAUUCGUAGAUAUUCGGAAGAACACCAGUGACGAAGGCGACUUACUGGACACAUAUUGACGCUGAGGUGCGAAAGCGUGGGGAGCAAACAGG